UUCAUCUUUUCAUGUUUUGCUCAACACAUUAGCUCAAUGCUUAUCUUUUUCUUUUUCAACUUUCCCAACAGCUCCAAACUUGAACCUUUAUCAAUACCACACAAUAAUUCUCAACUUAACUCAAGGUAAAGAUUUUCAAAAGGGUUUUCACAUACUGUUUAAGGCUUAGGUUCAAAAAGGGUAGAACACAUUGUGCUCUUUUUAAUUGGGACG
rnacentral:lncRNA from 1 species